GUGGGGAAUUUUGCGCAAUGGACGAAAGUCUGACGCAGCAACGCCGCGUGGGUGAUGAAGGUCUUCGGAUUGUAAAACCCUGUCGUCAGGGACGAAGGUUGGGGCUUUAAUAGAGUUUCAACUUGACGGUACCUGGAGAGGAAGCCCCGGCUAACUCUGUGCCAGCAGCCGCGGUAAUACAGAGGGGGCAAGCGUUAUUCGGAAUUACUGGGCGUAAAGGGCGCGUAGGCGGUUCUUUAAGUCGGAUGUGCAAUCCCCGAGCUCAACUUGGGAACUGCAUCCGAAACUGGGGAGCUAGAGUGCUGGAGAGGGUGGUGGAAUUCCACGUGUAGCGGUGAAAUGCGUAGAGAUGUGGAGGAACACCAGUGGCGAAGGCGGCCACCUGGACAGUAACUGACGCUGAGGCGCGAAAGUGUGGGUAGCAAACAGGAUUAGAAACCCGUGUAGUCC
rnacentral:rRNA from 1 species